CCCAGGUGUGGCAGGAGCUUUUACCUGCUCUUCGGCAGUAGCCGGCUGCCACUCAACCCCAUGCCUGGGUUGUCCUCAUCUAAUCCGUCAGUACCAGACAGUGAACAUCUCUCCCCCAGGAUGCUGAGGGAGGGUCCUGGAGGGAAGGAUGUGGAACUACAGCCUCUGCUCUCAAGAAGCUCAGAUCUGGGCAGGGAACAUCACAUACCAGGGCUGUCUGUCGGGGGGGUGGAGGGCUGGGGGAGGGAUAGCAUUAGGGGAAAUACCUAAUGUAAAUGACAAGUUGAUGGGUGCAGCAAACCAACAUGGCACAUGUAUACCUAUGUAACAAAUCUGCAUGUUGUGCACGUGUACCCUAGAACUUAAAGUAUAAU
rnacentral:lncRNA from 10 species